rnacentral:lncRNA from 1 species
GCGCGGCGGCGGCAGCGGGACGCGCGGCUCCCCCUGGCUGCGCGGCGGCGGCGGGAGGCGGCCGCGCUCUGAGGAGGAGCCGCCGCCGCCUCAUCCUGCGGCAGCGCGAGGAGCCCGGCGAGCGCAGUUCGUGAUUUCUGGUAGAUGCCGYGAUUAUCUGACCUAGCGCUGUGUGCGAGCCGCUCCCCGAGGGGCGCAGGUGGCAGUGUAGAAGCCAAGAACAAAAAUUGGCAGAAAUAUUUUCUGUGUAUGAGAAAAYGAAGAGUGUACUCAUGACUAAGCACAGGAACCUGAAAAACCACAGUUACAAAACAUUCAGGGAAUUGCAUUUGAGGUAUAGCUUCCUGGGGACCCAAACCCUGGAAUUGUAAGCUGUCUGGAUAGCGACUGUCUCUGUUCAGGAAUUGUAAGGCUCUGAUCUGCAAAUGAGGCUUGUGUGUGCUGUCACAAUGCUUUCAUGAUAUGCUGUGCUUUGUGUAGACUAUUCUGAAAAACUAUCACAGUUUCUAAAGUGAAUUUAAAAAAAAUAAAGUGAAUAAGCCUAGAUCUUCA